UACAGAGGUCUCAAGCGUUGUUCGGAUUCAUUGGGCGUAAAGGGUGCGUAGGUGGCGAGGUAAGUCGGAUGUGAAAUCUCAGGGCUCAACCCUGAAACUGCAUUCGAUACUGCCUUGCUCGAGGACUGGAGAGGAGAUUGGAAUUCACGGUGUAGCAGUGAAAUGCGUAGAUAUCGUGAGGAAGACCAGUGGCGAAGGCGGAUCUCUGGACAGUUCCUGACACUGAGGCACGAAGGCCAGGGGAGCAAACGGG
rnacentral:rRNA from 2 species